rnacentral:rRNA from 1 species
AUGGCUUGCUUUGAUCUAACCAAGACCCUAUGUGAAGAGUUGAGCAAUAUGAUAAAUAGAUACUGGUGGAGCCAAGUGGAUAAAGAGAAUAAAAUACAUUGGGCUAGCUGGGAGAAGAUGACGAAGACGAAGAAAGCAGGAGGCUUGGGAUUUAGGGAUCUCCAUGCCUUCAAUCUGGCCAUGCUUGCAAGGCAAGCAUGGAGGCUCAUUCAAAACCCAGCUUCCUUAUGUGCGCAGGUCCUGUCAGCAAGAUACUAUUCAGAUGGCUCAGUUCUUCAAGCCAGGCCUAGAAGCGGCAUAUCCUACACAUGGCGCAGUAUACUAAAAGGAGUAGAUCUGCUCAAGAAAGGGAUCAUAUGGAGAGUAGGCAGUGGUAGCAACAUCAAUAUUUGGUCUGAUCCCUGGAUUCCAAGAGGAAGUACUAGGAGAGUCAUCACACAGAGGGGUGGAAAUGUUGUAACUAAAGUAAAUGAUUUGAUUGAUCCUACCACAAACAAUUGGGAUGAAGACUUAGUUAGACAAACCUUUCUCCCUGAAGAUGCAAAUAUUAUUCUACAAAUCCCAAUUCAUACACAUGAAGAUGAUUGCAUAGCAUGGCAUUAUGAUAAAAAGAUGAAGAUACAUGUGGUUUUAAUUGGCCAAAGUUGUGGUCGCUUCCCCUCCCCAACAAGGUUCUUCACUUCUUAUGGCGCAUGUCCACAAAUACCUUACCACUGCGCAUGA